rnacentral:rRNA from 1 species
UACGUAGGGACCAAGCGUUGUCCGGAAUCAUUGGGCGUAAAGAGCUCGUAGGCGGUCUGUCGCGUCUGCUGUGAAAACCUGGGGCUUAACCCCGGGCCUGCAGUGGGUACGGGCAGACUAGAGUGUGGUAGGGGAGACUGGAAUUCCUGGUGUAGCGGUGAAAUGCGCAGAUAUCAGGAGGAACACCGGUGGCGAAGGCGGGUCUCUGGGCCAUAACUGACGCUGAGGAGCGGAAGCGUGGGGAGCGAACAGG